rnacentral:rRNA from 1 species
GAUCAUGGCUCAGGAUGAACGCUAGCUACAGGCUUAACACAUGCAAGUCGAGGGGCAGCAUUUCGGUUGCUUGCAAACUGGAGAUGGCGACCGGCGCACGGGUGAGUAACACGUAUCCAACCUGCCGAUAACUCGGGGAUAGCCUUUCGAAAGAAAGAUUAAUACCCGAUGGUAUAAUCAGACCGCAUGGUCUUGUUAUUAAAGAAUUUCGGUUUAUGGAUGGGGAUGCGUUCCAUUAGG